UCCUGGAUAUGGAUUGGUGACAGGCUCAUCCCCCUGGGCCUCUGAUAGUGCCCAGGACAGAGAAAACUGGCCCAGAAUCCAUGGAGACCUCUGCCCUUAGGUUGCUGACCAUGAAGCAGGUUGCACAGUG